GACAUGGCUGUACAGAACUUUGUCGGUGACUCCUUCCGAGGUGCCACAUGGGUGGCCCUACACAACGGUGGGGGGUGUGGCUGGGGUGAAGUUAUGAAUGGUGGGUUUGGUCUUGUGCUGGAUGGUUCAGAGGAUGCUGGUGAGAGGGCUAAGAUGAUGCUUCA